GCAAGCCUGAUCCAGCCAUGCCGCGUGAGUGAAGAAGGCCUUCGGGUUGUAAAGCUCUUUCUGGUGGAAAGAAAACGCACUUUUUAACACAAGGUGUGGAUGACGGUACCAUCAAAACAAGC
rnacentral:rRNA from 1 species